UACGGAGGGUGCAAGCGUUAAUCGGAAUUACUGGGCGUAAAGCGUGCGCAGGCGGUUUGUUAAGUCUGCUGUGAAAUCCCCGAGCUCAACUUGGGAAUUGCAGUGGAUACUGGCAGGCUGGAGUAUGGUAGAGGAAGGUGGAAUUCCCGGUGUAGCAGUGAAAUGCGUAGAGAUCGGGAGGAACACCAGUGACGAAGGCGGCCUUCUGGACCAAUACUGACGCUCAUGCACGAAAGCGUGGGGAGCAAACAGG
rnacentral:rRNA from 1 species